AAAUAAACACUAUAUAAAAAAAAAAUCUUUAUCCCUCUGCGUAUCUUAGCUCAACAUUUACCAUUUUUCUACCCUACGCAUUUACCGGCUCACUCGCCGGAGUUUUUCCCGGUCAAUGACUAAUUCAACUUCCUUUUUCCCGAUUUAACAAACUUUCCAGAAUUUUCGCGAGAAACAGCCUUAUAUAUUUAUAUACAAACAUUCCUUCUUCGUUUUCAUCAAACAGUACUGUGAAGAGAAGAAAAUAUGGGAGUUGAUUACUAUAAGACACUGAAAGUGUCACGCAAUGCGAGUGAAGAAGAUUUGAAAAAAUCGUAUAAGCGAUUGGCAAUGAAAUGGCAUCCGGAUAAGAAUAGUGAGAACAAGAAGGAAGCUGAAGCGAAAUUCAAGCAGAUAUCUGAGGCUUAUGAUGUGCUUAGUGAUCCACAGAAGAGGCAGAUCUAUGAUUUAUAUGGUGAUGAGGCGCUGAAAUCCGGUCAAUUCGAUCCAUCCUCACCUAGUGGUGUCUAUGGUGAUGGAAGAGGAUUUAAGUUCAAUUCACGUGAUGCGGAAGAUAUUUUUGCGGAGUUUUUUGGUGGAUCGGCUGGGUAUACUAGGAGUACUGGUGGUACUGUACGGAUUCGGAAAGCUGCGCCGGUGGAGAACAAGUUGCCGUGUAGCUUGGAGGAGUUAUACAAGGGUUCUAAGAGGAAAAUGAAGAUUUCAAGGAUUGUUCUUGAUGGCACUGGUAAGCCCACAACUAUUGAAGAGGUCUUGGCAAUACACAUUAAACCUGGUUGGAAGAAAGGCACAAAAAUUACUUUUCCAGAGAAAGGGAACCAUGAACCUGGAGCUGCACCUGGUGAUCUUACUUUUGUGAUAGAUGAAAAGCCACAUGAUGUUUUCAAGAGAGAUGGGAAUGAUCUAGUGAUCAAUCAGAAAAUCUCAUUAGUAGAUGCUCUCGCUGGGAAAACUAUCAACCUAACUAGUUUGGAUGGAAGGGAACUCACAAUACCAAUCACAGAUGUUGUUAAACCAGGACAUGAACAGAUAAUCCCAAAUGAAGGAAUGCCAAUAUCAAAAGAACCUGGAAAGAAAGGAAAAUUGAGGAUCAAGUUUGAGGUUAAAUUCCCGUCAAGGCUUAGUACAGAUCAGAAAUUUGAUAUCAGAAGAGUAUUGGGCAGAACUGCUAACUAAUCGAAGGUUUUACUUGAGAUUUUACCAAGAUUGAUUGUUUAUGUACAUACUUGAAAAGUUUGCAUAAAGUUUAUGCUAGACAUAAGACAGAAGAAUUGUGCAUAGUAGGAUUAGUGUUUUGACACGAUGCCUCUCUAAGUUUACUUUUAUUUAGCACCAUAAAGGGAGCUAAUAUAGCAGCUACUCCAGCUGCCCAUCUAUAAUUCUUAUGUUGGAUAUUGAACACGUUAGGUAGUUUACUAGUUUUAAUAACUGUGCUAUUUAAUUUGGAGGUAGAUGCUAUAUAUCAAGUAGUUGGAGUUUGGAGUAGCUUGCUAUGUUGUUCGGAUUGUGAAAUUUCAUCUGUGGGUGGCAGAUUGUUGCAGACUGGUUUUGCCUUUUCAUUUAGCUCCUUGUCAACCCAGAAGAAUAUGAAAACUUUUUUGUUAGUGUUGACAUUUAUGCAGGGACCACACCAUGAAGCUGUAAAGUCAAUAACAAUCUAACAAAUCACAACUCACAAGAAGAAAGAAAAAGAAAAGAGUCAAAUGAUAUUAGUACAGCCUAUAUA